rnacentral:rRNA from 1 species
AUUGAACGCUAGCGGGAUGCCUUACACAUGCAAGUCGAACGGAGUGGCGAACGGGUGAGUAAUGUAUCGGAACGUGCCCAGUAGCGGGGGAUAACUACGAGAAAGCGUAGCUAAUACCGCAUACUAUUGGAGCGGCCGAUAUCGGAUUAGCUAGCUGGUGGGGUAACGGCUCACCAAGGCGACGAUCCCUAGCUGGUUUGAGAGGAUGACCAGCCACACUGGAACUGAGAGAAGGUCCAGACUCCUACGGGAGGCAGCAGUGGGGAAUAUUGGACAAUGGGUGAAAGCCUGAUGCAGCCAUCCCGCGUGUGUGAUGAAGGCCUUCGGGUUGUAAAGCACUUUUGGCAGGGAAGCGUUACCUGCAGAAGAAGCACCGGCUAACUACGUGCCAGCAGCCGCGGUAAUAC